GGGCACCUUGCCCUACAGCCACCAGGACCUGCGCAGCUCCAUCAGGUGGGACAGUUAGAGCAAAUGCAGACACUAGAGAACUCUUGUUUGUUGUUUGAUGUCUGAUAAACAGUACAUUUGUCUUUCAGAAACUUCACCCUUCAUGUCAGAUCUCCAGGAGGCUUCAGGUUUGCUACUGAAGGCCAUCAGAAAACUAGAGGGAGGUCGUAAGAUUGACAAAGUGCAGGUAAGGACCUUGACUUUGACGACACGUAUUACUGAAAACAUGUUGGUUUAUCCUGAAACCCUUCUCUCCAGUGUGGGCAGGAUGUACAGAGGUGUAUUCUAGAACAGAGAACGCUGAUGAAGGAUGUUCUGGAGGACAGCCGGUUGGUCGCCUGCAAAGGGAGGGCGGAGCCAUGCUGGCCAGGCGGAGGAGGGAGAGUGACCUCAGAUACUCCACUGUGAGGAUUACAGGUAUACAUUUUAUUCUUAUUGAACCUUAUUUAACUGGGCAAGUCAGUUAAGAACAAAUCUAUUUACAAUGACGGCCUACGCGGCCAAACCCGACGACGCUGGGCCAAUUGUGUGCCGCCCUAUGGGACUCCCAAUCACUGCCGGAUGUGAUACAGCCUGGAUUCGAACCAGGGACUGUAGUGACACCUCUUGCACUGAGAUGCAGUGUCUUAGACCGCUGCGCCACUCGGGAGACCACUACCUUUCACUGUUUAGUAUGGCUGGGCCAAUUGAGAGGCUCCUUCACAAAAUGAUUAUCAAUGUAUUAUUCCCUUGACCUCUGACCUCUCUGUACAGUGAUGCUGUAGACUCUGUGACCUAUAUGUACAACCAUGUAGAGGAGCAAGCCCACAUGCUGGUGCAAAGAUCCAACAUGUCCCUGGAGCACCUUGAAUACCUACUCCAACUCAGAGAAAUGGAGGGCCACUUCUCUAAGAUCAGGGAAUGGUUUGAUGCCGAAGGGGAACGGCGGUUGCUGGAGGCAGAAUCAGUGGAGGACUCCAGAGAAAAGGUUGCACAUACUCUCCAGAGUUUCAGAGCAUUCCUCUCUGAAGCCAAUGUAAGUCCGGCUUUCUCCAUUCAUUCUCUCUCCACCACACCACGGCAAGGUGUUGACACUGUUUCACACUUGUUUCAUUGGAAUCUUCUUGGACAAGGGGGAAUGGAAGUGCUUAUGAAAGUCAUUUUUUGGUUUAAUUUGUCUGUUACUAUCUUUUAGGAGCAGAAGCACCAGGCUUUGGUCCUGGUGACAGAGGCAGAGAAGAUCCAGGGCCCAUCUCCAUACCCUGAGACUGAGGUGUUCAGGACCAUGGUGUGCACUUUCAAGUCUGGCCUGGCUGACUCCCUCUCACGGGCAGAGAGGUGCUCCAGGGAGCUGGAGACUAUGGUCUCUGUUUGCAGCUUCUGUGAACAGGUUGGUGGGAUGGAUUUUUCCACAAUUGCUGUUUACAUCUCAUUUAUAGCAUAUCAUAUUGAUGUUGACAUGUUGUAGGAAUAUAGGAAAAAGUAAUGAAGCUUAAAUGACUAUCGCCUCUCAAUGCCUCUUUCAGGUUUUUGAAUAGGUAUUCUGCCUCUUUCUUCCAGGCUACUGAACUGGCCAAAGACUGCAGACAAUACCUGGGCCAGGAACAGGUUGGCAGACACCCAGAGACGG
ensembl:lncRNA